UACAGAGGGGGCGAGCGUUAUUCGGAAUUAUUGGGCGUAAAGGGCGCGUAGGCGGCUUUUCAAGUGACGGGUGAAAUCCCUCGGCUUAACCGAGGAACUGCCUGUCAGACUGGAAGGCUUGAGACCGGGAGAGGUGAGUGGAAUUCCCAGUGUAGCGGUGAAAUGCGUAGAUAUUGGGAGGAACACCAGUGGCGAAGGCGGCUCACUGGCCCGAUACUGACGCUGAGGCACGAAAGCGUGGGGAGCAAACAGG
rnacentral:rRNA from 1 species